rnacentral:rRNA from 1 species
UACGGAGGGUGCAAGCGUUAUCCGGAUUUACUGGGUUUAAAGGGAGCGUAGGUGGGUCGGUAAGUCAGUGGUGAAAUCUUCGAGCUUAACUCGGAAACUGCCAUUGAUACUAUCGAUCUUGAAUUAUCUGGAGGUAAGCGGAAUAUGUCAUGUAGCGGUGAAAUGCUUAGAUAUGACAUAGAACACCCAUUGCGAAGGCAGCUUACUACGGAUAUAUUGACACUGAGGCUCGAAAGCGUGGGGAUCAAACAGGAUUAGAAACCCUGUAGUCC